rnacentral:rRNA from 1 species
CCACCUCCCACCCGUGUUUAUUUUACCUUGUUGCUUCGGCGGGCCCGCCUUAACUGGCCGCCGGGGGGCUUACGCCCCCGGGCCCGCGCCCGCCGAAGACACCCUCGAACUCUGUCUGAAGAUUGUAGUCUGAGUGAAAAUAUAAAUUAUUUAAAACUUUCAACAACGGAUCUCUUGGUUCCGGCAUCGAUGAAGAACGCAGCGAAAUGCGAUACGUAAUGUGAAUUGCAAAUUCAGUGAAUCAUCGAGUCUUUGAACGCACAUUGCGCCCCCUGGUAUUCCGGGGGGCAUGCCUGUCCGAGCGUCAUUGCUGCCCUCAAGCACGGCUUGUGUGUUGGGCCCCGUCCUCCGAUCCCGGGGGACGGGCCCGAAAGGCAGCGGCGGCACCGCGUCCGGUCCUCGAGCGUAUGGGGCUUUGUCACCCGCUCUGUAGGCCCGGCCGGCGCUUGCCGAUCAACCCAAAUUUUUAUCCAGGUUGACCUCGGAUCAGGUAGGGAUACCCGCUGAACUUAAGCAUAUCA